AUUGAACGCUGGCGGAAUGCUUUACACAUGCAAGUCGAACGGUAGAGGGGGCAACCCCUCGAGAGUGGCGAACGGGUGAGUAAUAUAUCGGAACGUGCCCAGUCGUGGGGGAUAACGUAGCGAAAGUUACGCUAAUACCGCAUACGAUCUAAGGAUGAAAGCGGGGGACCGUAAGGCCUCGCGCGAUUGGAGCGGCCGAUAUCAGAUUAGGUAGUUGGUGAGGUAAAGGCUCACCAAGCCAACGAUCUGUAGCUGGUCUGAGAGGACGACCAGCCACACUGGAACUGAGACACGGUCCAGACUCCUACGGGAGGCAGCAGUGGGGAAUUUUGGACAAUGGACGCAAGUCUGAUCCAGCCAUUCCGCGUGCAGGAUGAAGGCCCUCGGGUUGUAAACUGCUUUUGUACGGAACGAAAAGGUCUCUCCUAAUACGAGGGGCUCAUGACGGUACCGUAAGAAUAAGCACCGGCUAACUACGUGCCAGCCGCCGCCGUAA
rnacentral:rRNA from 1 species